UCCUUCCUGGUUCUUUUUCCCCCUGCAGACAUGGACAAGAAAUUCCAGCAGUACCUCUGUGAUUACAUCACCGGUGUGAUGCACUCAGCAGGGACACACAUCCGGAAGGACCGAGCUGGGCAGGUGCUGACAGGGACUCAGCUGGCUGCCAGGAUCAAGGACGUCUCUCGAUACUUGAAGACCAAACACUACGACUUCUCCUCCCCCAUGAAGAUGGCCGAGGAGUUUGCAGCAAUAAGACAGGAGUUAAACAGCAGAGCAGUAGAGGCCGCCAGGAGGGAAUAUAAACAAUUUGUGCAGGAGCUGGUGAGUGCAGGGGGGCUGCGGGUCAGGGUUAAGGGGCAUCGUCAGAGCUAGGGGAACCAGGG
rnacentral:lncRNA from 1 species